rnacentral:sRNA from 1 species
GCUGGGCGCAGUGCGCAGGCCUGUAAUCCCAGCAGUUCAGGAGGCUGAGGCAGGAGGAUCGCGAGUUCAAAGCCAGCCUCAGCAACAGCGAGGCACUGACUCAGUGAGAUCCUGUCUCUA